AAAAUACAAUUGUGCAAUUACAUGUUUAUCAUUGUAAUUAGUUCGAUUUAGCCAAAUUUAAGCGAAAUGCUAGAAAAACUUAUUCAAACAAAAUAUAAGUCAAACAUCAAUCACAUUCAUUGUUGUCUUCAUUAUGUUGUUGAUGUAGCAAAUAUUGGAAACUUCCACUUCCAGGUCCUUCGUACGUCAUCGAAUGAGAAGGAUAAUGUGAUUGCAAAGCAUACGGUGGGAGUGAUUGUUGUAAUAUAUAAAAAAUUAAAACAUGAUAUGAGGUUUUAAAAAUUAAAAAAUAUAAGUAUACACUAACAAAUUGUGAUUUUAAGAUGAAAACUUACUUGGUGCCAAUUAUAAGGAAAUGGUUGAAAAAUAUUGUGCACACCACCUUGGGUUGA
rnacentral:lncRNA from 1 species